rnacentral:lncRNA from 1 species
UCUGGCCUUGACAAGUGUCAUGCUGUGAUUGGCCUUUGAUGUUAACACGUGUCGCCUUGUGAUUGGCCUCUUGGUGUUGACACGUGUUGUACUGUGAUUGGCCUCCUGGUUGGAGGAAAACUCUUCUGAGUCCUUAACGGUAUAACGUUGAUGUGUAAAAUAAGUUAACACACAAAAUUAAACCCUCUUUUUAUCAAUUGUAGUAAAGUAUGUAAGUAGGGAUCGUUCUAGGCCGGGGAUUAGGAGGGAUUGCUAAAUCACUUGGAAACUAACUUGAAAACGUGAAAACAAAGUUUAAAACACUAACUAGACUCAAAGAAUGCAAAACUAUACUUUAAAAUACUUAAACAAACAUAAAACUCAAAACAGCAACUAAUGACUCAAAACUGCCUAAAAACCACUUUCUGGGCAGUUUUGAGAACCUAACAAGAACUUGGACGAAGUUGGAUGAAAACUUGAAUCAAAACACUUAGAAACACAAAUCAAAACACUUUCUAACUAAUCUAAGACUUCAAAAUAAAGGGGGAUUUGUUUUGGAUGAAAAUUGAAAACAAAACAGAAACUUUAAAACAAAACAGAUUGUAAAACGUUUUUGGAUGAAAAUGAUGGAUAAAAGGCUAGUUAGGAGGUUCUUCUCCACGCAUGACACACUUGCAAACAAAAUGAUUUUCAGUUGUUUUUUCAAUAAAUUAUGAAACU